rnacentral:rRNA from 2 species
GCCUGAUGGAGCAACGCCGCGUGAGUGAGAAGGUUUUCGGAUCGUAAAACUCUGUUGUAAGGGAAGAACAAGUACAGUAGUAACUGGCUGUACCUUGACGGUACCUUAUUAGAAAGCCACGGCUAACUACGUGCCAGCAGCCGCGGUAAUACGUAGGUGGCAAGCGUUGUCCGGAAUUAUUGGGCGUAAAGCGCGCGCAGGCGGUCCUUUAAGUCUGAUGUGAAAGCCCACGGCUCAACCGUGGAGGGUCAUUGGAAACUGGGGGACUUGAGUGCARAARAGGAAAGUGGAAUUCCAAGUGUAGCGGUGAAAUGCGUAGAGAUUUGGAGGAACACCAGUGGCGAAGGCGACUUUCUGGUCUGUAACUGACGCUGAGGCGCGAAAGCGUGGGGAGCAAACAGGAUUAGAUACCCUGGUAGUCCACGCCGUAAACGAUGAGUGCUAAGUGUU